rnacentral:lncRNA from 1 species
AGUAAACUGGAGCUCACCAAAAGCAGCUGGAUAUCCUGGCUCCUACUUGUACGGUGUAUGAGCUGAGGUACCUAUGCCUGCAACAUGAAAUAUAGGUCCCCCGUGGGGGACAUCAGUACAAAAUAUGUACUAAGUAUGUAAAGCUGUAGAUUAUCACAUAUGAUAUAGGAGCUCAAUAGAAAUAGAAAACAAGUGAAUAAAUCGUAAUAGAAGUGCACCACACUUACUAGAACUUGUGACAACCUGUACAUUGUAUUUAUUCAAUCACUUUACCUUCGUUCUUAUCAUCUUUGUAAUUAUUACUGUACUGUACUGUGACCAUUAGGCUGCCUCCAGUACAUAUCAACUGGGAUCGACCCACGAUAGGCUUAUGCCCUUGGGAUACCACCCAUAAACACAUAAAUAGGGAUCGACCCAUGCUAGGCUUAUGCCCCUAGGAUACCACCCGAUAAGAGAGAACUCCCAUCACUUAGUUCAAUUAAUCUUUGAGAUUGUUAUUUCGGUCGCCACCACAUUUUUGAUACUUUGAAACAAUGAUACAUCAAUAGGAACCAAGUAAUAGACCUUCUAUACAAUAACGAUGUAAUAAAGACUCAUUGGUACAUCAACAAUGUGUUUCAGAAUCAUCAAUAUCACAACAAUGAAAUAAGAGCCUUUUGGUAUAUCAAUGAAACAUUUUGACACUUUAUAGAAUGGAAACAACUUCGUUGGUAACGUAGAACAAUACAUGUUUUUGGACAACCUCGGAAUCUUACUUGAUGGAACAUUGGUGUUUU